GGACACAGAGGGGGCUCCGAGACCGGGAUUGAUUCGGGAAAAAUACCUGAGGGACUAAGACACUGUAAUACUUCCUCAGUUCAAGGCAAAGAGUGACCAGCUGCCUCUAACAAACAGAGGGGUUGUGAUUCAAAUUCAAAGAAGACAGAAGAUCUGACGAGUUAGAAUUGACAGUGGGGCAGUCGUGGUGUGUAGGAACACCAAGAUGUGGCUAUCUCUGCCAAAGUGGAAAGUGGAUGCAAUUCUGAAAUGUCCUUGAACCAAUCGACUUGCUCAGCCAGGAGGAGGUGAGGAAUUUGGAAAGGAUUAGGAGCCAUGUGCAGAGCAGACUGGAUGAGGAGGACAGAUUUCAUUUCCUGAAGGACCAUCACAGACAGGAACAGGAGAAGGCUAUUUGGCCUCUCAAGCCAUUCAAUAGCAUCGUGGCUGAUGCACCAUUCCUCACACUCAUUUUCCUGCACUUAACAUGUAACCCUCAAUUCCCCAACUGAUCAAGAAUCUAUAUACCCCAGCUAUAAACCUGCUCCCUGUCCCCACACACAGCUCUCUGUGGCAAGGAGUUCCAAACACUCAACCUUCUGAGAGAAGAAAUUCCUCCUCACCUCAGUCUUCAAUUUUGAACCAGAUGGUUGGUUGUUCCUGACAACAGUCAUCAUUAGAGUCUUAACUCCAGAUCUAUUUUUGUUUCAAAUCGAAUUCCAAAUCGACCACCUGCCACAGCAAGAUUCAAAUUCACAUCACCAGGACAUACCCUGGGGAGGUGUAAACAUAGGAUUCUGCUUCCCCAUUAUUUCAGAAACUGAAAAUGAAUCCCAUCAAAAUUAAUUUCAGAAUAAAUUUCACCACAUCUUUGUGCUAAACACUGAUGUCGCCAUAAUCCACACAGUGUGGACAGAGACUAUUCAGCCCAUCCAGUCUCCCCAAGCCAGUGAAGAGCAUCCCAUCAAACCCUGACCCUAUCCCCGUAAC